rnacentral:rRNA from 1 species
AAAAUCCGGGAUCUUGUUAAUGCCGAGAGCUGAUGACGAGCGUUCUUUAGAAUGCGAAGUGGUUGAUGCCAUGCUUCCAAGAAAAUCUUCUAAGCUUCAGAUAAUUAGGAACCGUACCCCAAACCGACACAGGUGGUUGGGUAGAGAAUACCAAGGCGCUUGAGAGAACUCGGGUGAAGGAACUAGGCAAAAUGGCACCGUAACUUCGGGAGAAGGUGCGCUGGUGAGGGUGAAGUAUUUACUACGUAAGCCUUUGCUAGUCGAAGAUACCAGGCCGCUGCGACUGUUUAUUAAAAACACAGGACUCUGCAAACACGAAAGUGGACGUAUAGGGUCUGACGCCUGCCCGGUGCCGGAAGGUUAAUUGAUGGGGUUAGCGCAAGCGAAGCUCUUGAUCGAAGCCCCGGUAAACGGCGGCCGUAACAAUAACGGUCCUAAGGUAGCGAAAUUCCUUGUCGGGUAAGUUCCGACCUGCACGAAUGGCGUAACGAUGGCGGCGCUGUCUCCACCCGAGACUCAGUGAAAUUGAAAUCGCUGUGAAGAUGCAGUGUAUCCGCGGCAAGACGGAAAGACCCCGUGAACCUUUACUAUAGCUUUGCACUGGACUUUGAAGUUGUUUGUGUAGGAUAGGUGGGAGGCUUUGAAGCAGAGACGCUAGUUUCUGUGGAGCCAACCUUGAAAUACCACCCUGGCAACUUUGAGGUUCUAACUCUGGUCCGUUAUCCGGAUCGAGGACAGUGUAUGGUGGGUAGUUUGACUGGGGCGGUCUCCUCCUAAAGAGUAACGGAGGAGUACGAAGGUGCGCUCAGACCGGUCGGAAAUCGGUCGUAGAGUAUAAAGGCAAAAGCGCGCUUAACUGCGAGACCAACAAGUCGAGCAGGUACGAAAGUAGGUCUUAGUGAUCCGGUGGUUCUGUAUGGAAGGGCCAUCGCUCAACGGAUAAAAGGUACUCCGGGGAUAACAGGCUGAUACCGCCCAAGAGUUCAUAUCGACGGCGGUGUUUGGCACCUCGAUGUCGGCUCAUCACAUCCUGGGGCUGAAGCCGGUCCCAAGGGUACGGCUGUUCGCCGUUUAAAGCGGUACGCGAGCUGGGUUUAGAACGUCGUGAGACAGUUCGGUCCCUAUCUGUCGUGGACGUUUGAGAUUUGAGAGGGGCUGCUCCUAGUACGAGAGGACCGGAGUGGACGAACCUCUGGUGUUCCGGUUGUCACGCCAGUGGCAUUGCCGGGUAGCUAUGUUCGGAAGAGAUAACCGCUGAAAGCAUCUAAGCGGGAAACUUGCCUCAAGAUGAGAUCUCACUGGAGCUUUAAGCUCCCUAAAGGGCCGUCGAAGACUACGACGUUGAUAGGUUGGGUGUGUAAGUGCUGUGAGGCAUUGAGCUAACCAAUACUAAUUGCCCGUGAGGCUUGACC